CACGUAGGGCGCGAGCGUUGUCCGGAAUUAUUGGGCGUAAAGAGCUCGUAGGCGGCCUGUUGCGUCCGCUGUGAAAGCCCGGGGCUUAACCCCGGGUCGGCAGUGGAUACGGGCAGGCUAGAGGUAGGUAGGGGAGAAUGGAAUUCCCGGUGUAGCGGUGAAAUGCGUAGAUAUCAGGAGGAAUACCGAUGGCGAAGGCAGGUCUCUGGGCUGACACUGACGCUCAUGCACGAAAGCGUGGGGAGCAAACAGG
rnacentral:rRNA from 1 species